GAUGAACGCUGGCGGCGUGCCUAAUACAUGCAAGUCGAGCGAACGGACGAGAAGCUUGCUUCUCUGAUGUUAGCGGCGGACGGGUGAGUAACACGUGGAUAACCUACCUAUAAGACUGGGAUAACUUCGGGAAACCGUAGCUAAUACCGGAUAAUAUUUUGAACCGCAUGGUUCAAAAGUGAAAGACGGUCUUGCUGUCACUUAUAGAUGGAUCCGCGCUGCAUUAGCUAGUUGGUAAGGUAACGGCUUACCAAGGCAACGAUGCAUAGCCGACCUGAGAGGGGGAACGGCCACACUGGAACUGAGAAACGGCCCAGACUCCUACGGGGGGCAGCAGUGGGGAAUCUUCCGCAAUGGGCGAAAGCCUGACGGAGCAACGCCGGGGGGGUGAUGAAGGGUUUGGGAUCGUAAAACUCUGUUAUUAGGGAAAAACAAAUGUGUAAGUAACUGUGAACAUCUGGACGGUACCAAAUAAAAAAGCCCCGGCUAACUACGU
rnacentral:rRNA from 1 species